UCUCAGGCACUGAGCAAAGUAGCCAUCCAUUAGCAGCCUCUUGGGAGGCAGGGCUCACAGCAGGGCUGAGUGAAGGUGGUGAGGUUGAGGGUCUCCAGGCCCGGAGUUGGCUGGCAGGAGUUGAGCAGGAAGCAGGUGGGCACGCAGGGCUGAGGAAUGUGGCAGGGUGGGGGACAGUUGUCACAGCAGAUGGGCUCCAGUAACCAAACUGUGUGUGGGCAGGUGCUGGGCAGGCAGACUCCACAGCGGCAGGAUUUGUCGGAGGAGCAGAUGGUGGUGGCAGGGCCGGUGGGGACGCUGCAGGAGCGGAGAGCACAGCAAUACAUGGCAAUGGGAGGUGGGUUUUUG
rnacentral:lncRNA from 1 species